GCUUCCGGAGCCCAAGCACUCCUGCAACUCCUGACUGUGGUCCUUACAGCUGCCCCAAACCAGGGUGGAACAUAUGUAAACUUCGCCGGCAGCGUCCCAAGUCACUGCGGAAAGACGACUCCACCAGCAGAGGCCAGGAUGGGCCUGCUUCAGAAGGAGAGGGUUUCACUGUAUAGCUCUGCCAGUCCUGGAACUCAGCCUGGAGAGCAGCCUGGCCUCGAACUCAGAUGGACUGCUGAGAUUAAAGGCACAUGUCAGUUUGUUUCUCUCACAUUCAGCUGGGCCAGGCUCUGAUAAGGGAGAAGGCCGAGGGACAGUUCGAAGGCAGGGGACAGUAAUCUCUCCGUUCAUUCCCCGGUUAGCUCUGCCGCCAGGACAACUGUGUGGCUCAGGACCAGAUCAGAAAAAGCAGGCUGAGGCUGACCUGCCUGCAGACCCAACACAGACUCCCCCUCUCCUGCCAUCUGUUCAAGGCUUUGAAAAACCGAGCCAGGGCCUCAAACAAACUGCUUUCCGGGGUCUAUUUGUCAGGUAACUAAGCUUGGACUGUGCAAUGGGUCCAAAUCAACUGACAACCAGGAUCCCUAAGAGCUGGUCAUCCACGAACAUUGUUCCUGUUUCCACACGACAGAGGCUGUACCUGUCACAGCCCCAGAUCCAGAGUGGCUGGUUGUCCCCACCCCCUCCCUCCCCAGCCCCAUAGCACACUCGAGAAAAUGUCUGUACUGUGUGGGCUUUGAAACAAUUAUGAGGUGCUAGAAAAUUCUCAAAGCAAGUCAUUUUUAUAUAAAACAACUGCCACCACUACCUCAAAUUGAGAGAGAGAGAGAGAGAGAACACCUGGAUGGAGUCACUGGCUCCGGGCUGCACUUCCCAGAUGCACUCAGCAGGGUCAAAUGAACAAUGGAAGAAUACUACAACAAAGGACUCAAACUGAACACUUCAGGGGCAAAGUCUUCACAGAGGCUCUUCUUUUUCCCCGUUCUAUCUGCAUGGUGGUGAAGGGAGUGAACAUAUUUCUAAGUCUCUUCCACACAGGAAGGCUCGCUUAGCAGUGAGUGAGCUGUAAGAAGCUAUACGAAGCUCAACACUUUCCUCCAGACAGACCAGUGGGUCACAAUCCCUUUUGGGGCUUGCACAUCAGAUAUCUUGCACAUCGAGUAUUUACAUUGUCAUUCAGAACAAUAGCAAAAUUGCAGUGAUGAAGUAGCAAUGGGAACAAUUUUAUGGUUGGGGGUAGCACAACAUGAAGAGCUGUAUUAAAGCAUCAAACAGUUAGAAGGCUGAGAACCACGGGGGUUAAGUAUCUGAUAUGAGAGUGUCUGAGUCCCCUGUUUUCAAAAGGGGUCUUCUACCCCAAGAGAACUAGAACCACAGGUUGAGAACCGUUGCUCUAGCUGGUCUAUUUUUCCUCUGGCUCAUCUCUGAGGGAGAGGUUGGGUGGUUGGAUCUCAGGGACAACAGAGCUUUUAAGCCUCGGAUGGAUGAGUUCACUGUGAUGCAACACUGUUAUCAGUGAUAAUAGUAGAUGUGACUCAACAGACACCAAGAAAGGGUGUCCUCUAAUCAGGGGAGAAGACCAUUAACAUUCCUGGGCUCCAGGGAGUGUAAGGAUCCAAGAGGGAUGGGUUGAAAUGAGGAUAUGGAAGGUAUUUUUGAAAAGUCAAGGCUGGUGAGGUGGCUCAGCGGUUGCUCUUCCGAAGGUCCUGAGUUCAAAUCCCAGCAACCACAUGGCGGCUCACAACCAUCCUAACAAGAUCCGAUGCCCUCUUCUGGAGGGUCUGAAGACAGCUUCAGUGUACUUGCAUAUAACAAUAAAUAAAUCUUAAAAAAAAAAAAAAAAA